rnacentral:misc_RNA from 1 species
UAAUAAGUGUUUUAGUGGCACUUUUUAAAUCCAUAUCCACCUUGUGUGCAAUGUCAGUCGAUCUUCUUCAUGGAGAUCGACCAAACAUCAACCUUUAUUUUUAACUCUUUGUCUGAAAAAUAUUAUGAAUAAACAAUUCAAAAUA